UUCGCAAUGCCCGAAAGGGUGACCGAGCGACGCCGCGUGGAGGACGAAGGCCUUCGGGUUGUAAACUCCUGUCGAGGGGGAGGAAGGUCUGUCUCGUGCAGGCAACCUUGACCGUAUCCCUGGAGGAAGCACGGGCUAAGUUCGUGCCAGCAGCCGCGGUAAGACGAACCGUGCGAACGUUAUUCGGAAUCACUGGGCUUAAAGCGCGUGUAGGCGGAUGGGAACGUCGGUCUUUGAAAGCCCCCGGCUCAACCGGGGAAGCGGAGCCGAAACGACCGAUCUGGAGGGACGUAGGGGGACCUGGAACUUCCGGUGGAGCAGUGAAAUGCGUUGAGAUCGGAAGGAACGCCCGUGGCGAAAGCGAGGUCCUGGACGUCUGCUGACGCUGAGACGCGAAAGCUAGGGGAGCAAACGGGAUUAGAUACCCCGGUAGUCCUAGCCGUAAACGAUGGGCACUAAGUAGAGGGGUUUU
rnacentral:rRNA from 1 species